UUGAAAACUUGAAAAUUCAAAAUACUAAAAUUGUAAAAUAGUAUACACACGUCCUAUUUGAAUGAACUGUGAAAAAUAAUUGCCAAUUGAAUUGUUUACCGCGAAUACUGUUAGCAAAUAACAUUAUUGCUCGAGAAACGUACGACAUUUAACGUAAACGUUAAAUGUUAACAAAACAAUGAUCAGUGACAUUGCCACAUUGGACGACGUCAGAUUGAUGGCGAUUGUUAAUCAGUCGCAGGUAUUUGCUGAAAACAUUGAACAUGACAGGAUUAUUCAUGUUUAGAUCAAUACCAUUCAGUAAGUUAUUGCAAAAAGCCAGCCAAGCUGUUCAAUAGUGUGCCAGAAAAUCACAACCACUUUCAUUUGUUGACCGAGUCCAUAGCCUAUUGCAUGGUAACCAAAAGUCUGGGAUUGCUGACAUACGAAUUUCACGAGAUGGUUUUGACCAUUGAACGUUGCGUACAAAAUGAUUCAAUGCUGUUGAACUACAAAUCAACAGAAUAUGUAUUUGUCGACAAAGCCACAUUCACUGUAAUAACGACAAAACUGACUCAAGAGCCAAAAGCUACAUGCAACUUGCGAGCUUCGUUUUGGCCACCCCUGCUAUUGGAGAUUCCAUUUAUCAUCAGAUGAUCUUUGUUGUAACUCAAUGAGUACCAAAUCAUUGAUUGCGACAGUAUAAUACAAUAAACAAAUACUCUUGUAUUUUUUUUACAAAAAUGGAAUGAUUUCAAACAUAAAAAGGCUUGGAAACUUUUGAAAAUAACCAACAAAUACAAAAAUCCUAAAUUAUCCUGGGUAGCCACUUCAUGAUUGACCACAACAACAGAACUAAAAAAUUCAGAUUACUAACAUUUUGUGCAGAUGAGUUAAGCACAUACUUUGGUCAGUUUGGCUCAAUCAACUAAUGCUAAUCCUAAAUUCUUCUUACCAUCUAGAAAUUUAAGCUUGACAAAAGAUGUAUAAAAAAUAAUAAUAAUCAUCAUCAAUGGCAGACUAAACUAACUUCAAUUUUAUAUAACACAUUUUCAUAAUUAAGUACUUGCUACUGCUACUGCCCCAUUAUAACUAGUAUCAAAGUUAUGUUGUAAAUAAAAUGUGGUUGAAAGAGUAAAGAGGUCGGGCCCUAGCAUGUAAUUCUGUGCCUCAGUCAUGUGGUGGCACCACCUCCUUUGAAAAGUUUAAUUGGUUACAUUCCCUUCAGCCUGCCACUGAUCAUCAUUGUAUUGUUUUAUUUUCUAUAAUAAUAAUUAAUUAAUUUUGAUUAAGGAAAUAUACGAAAUCAGUGAUUUGUUAAUUAAAUUUAAUGACCAACAAUUUUUAUCUUACUUUAUGGAUGGAAUAUGCAUUUUAGAUAAACAGCAUGACUAUUAUCACCUGGAAGAUGUACCAUC
rnacentral:misc_RNA from 1 species